UUUUUGCCUGCCGCCAUCCACGUAAGGUAUGAUUUGCCCCUCCUUGCCUUCUGCCAUGAUUGUGAGGCCUCCCCAGCCACGUGAAACUAAGGAGAGUGCAUGAGAUUAUAUAAAGACUCAGAGAAGAGAUACAGCUCCUCCCGCACCAGAGAAAUGCAGCUCCGUGAGCCCCGAUGGAGCCAGCAUGCUGCUGGGUGCUGAGGAGCAGGCAGAGGCACCCAGGAUGGCGGUCCCCAAGGAGAACGGAGGCACAGAACAACGCAUGAGGGGCCACAUGACUUAGGGCCGGGAUCGGUCACUCAGCCAGCAAAAACACUGGAAGAAAACAAAACAACUUCAGACUCUAUGCUGCAUUUCCGUAAUAUAUCUGCCCAAAGACUGGACAACAAAGGUAAAGGAGGCUGAUGAGGAAACGAAAGGAUCCGUGGUUCUUGGCUCGCUGGGUGGCUCAUCAACAAAGCCCCAGCAUCACUCCUGCAGAUGCCCUAGCCUGGCCUGGGCUGGGAUGGGCAAAAUUCACCAUGGGACUCUUGUUCAAGAGAGGGAGAUCAAAGCCAGAAACACUUACCCAGAAUGGCCAUGCAGACUAAAAUUCCAAUUCUAAAAAUACUUUUAAAAUGUAACGUACAACAAAGGAAAGCUGGAAAAAUAUUUAAAAAAGGAUGAAAGGGCAAGAAAAAUUCAACCCACGACCUCAAGGCGAUUAUAAUCUGUGUUCUGCUGCUUCCCAGAGCCGCUUCAGUCUUCAGCUCAGAGUCUACCAGACACUAAAAUGCAACUGAACACUC
rnacentral:lncRNA from 10 species